CCUACGGGAGGCAGCAGUGAGGAAUAUUGGUCAAUGGACGAGAGUCUGAACCAGCCAAGUAGCGUGAAGGAUGACUGCCCUAUGGGUUGUAAACUUCUUUUAUAUGGGAAUAAAAUGUUCCACGUGUGGGAUUUUGUAUGUACCAGAUGAAUAAGGAUCGGCUAACUCCGUGCCAGCAGCCGCGGUAAUACGGAGGAUACGAGCGUUAUCCGGCUUUAUUGGGUUUAAAGGGUGAGUAGGGGGGUGGUUAAGUCAGGUGUGAAAGUGUGCGGCUCAACCGUACAAUUGCGGUUGAAACUGGCGGGCUUGAGUACAGUAGAGGUAGGCGGAAUUCGUGGUGUAGCGGUGAAAUGCUUAGAUAUCACGAAGAACUCCGAGUGCGAAGGCAGCUCACCGGACUGCAACUGACACUGAGGCUCGAAAGUGUGGGUAUCAAACAGGAUUAGAUACCCCGGUAGUC
rnacentral:rRNA from 1 species